AAUCUUUCUUUAAAAAGUUAUGGAGGUUCCUCAAAAAGCUGUACAUAGAGCUCCCCUAUGACGCAGCAAUCUCACCUCUGGGAAUCUACCCAAAUGUCCACAAACAAGCCCACA